GCCAGCGUCCCCCCUCUCUCUCACGUGAUCUAGCUCCUCCUCCAUUCACCCAUCGCCCGGGAGAAACCCUACCUUCUCUCCCCACUUCUUGUUCCCAUCCCUAGCCGCCGCGAGAGGCCAUGGCCUAGCUUGUAGGAGCUCCCCUCCCACAGCGUGAUCAGAUUGAAAAAGACCAAAAAUAAGGCAAAAAAUUCAUGGUGAUAAUUCGUUGAAUAUACAGUUGUGCCUACAACUUCUUCGCCCUGAUCAGGCACAAAUUCUGGAGAUUGAUAGAAAUUCAACUACCACAGUUGGGUAAAAACUCUUCAAGGGGAACAACAAAAAGAGCUAAAACUGCAAAAACUAGCCUCUGUACUGAGUUGUUGCUGACCCUGGUGUUGCUGAAUGUUGCUUACAAACUGCAAAAACUGCAAAAACUAGCCUCUGAACUGAGUUGUUGUUGAACCUGGUGUUGCUGAAUGUUGCCUACAAAACUACAGAAGCUAGCCUUUGUACUGAAUGUUGCUGAACUUGGUGCUAUGAACAUAAGAAGAUGCUGACACCUGGUCCUUCAAUUUUUCUUGACUAUUGUUUUGUACCUUGUUUCUGCAAAAAAGAAAAAUGAAAUGAAAAAAGAAGCAAUUGUGUA